rnacentral:RNase_P_RNA from 1 species
GAAGUCGGUCGGAUGACCGCCGGUUCGCCUUUGGCGGACGGGAGGAAAGUCCGGACUCCACAGGGUAGGGUGCUGGGUAACGCCCAGGGAGGGUGACCUCACGGACAGUGCCACAGAAAAGAUACCGCCCGCGCAGCAUCAUCGGCCGCUAGGUUUCGUUUCAAGCGUAGCCGAACGGCCCGUGGGUAAGGGUGAAAAGGUGCGGUAAGAGCGCACCAGCGGCAUGGUGACAUGCCGGCUUGGCAAACCCCACCCGGAGCAAGGCCAAAUAGGUUCCGCCCCAUCAUGCAGAGAGCGGCCCGCUCUCGUGUCCCUUUCGGGGCAGGCGGAACGGGUAGGCUGCUUGAGCCCGGCGGUAACGUCGGGCCUAGAGGAAUGGUCAUCCGGUCGGGCCGUAAGGUCCGGCCGUACAGGAUCCGGCUUACAGACCGACUUCGGCC